AGAGUUUGAUCCUGGCUCAGAUUGAACGCUGGCGGCAGGCCUAACACAUGCAAGUCGAACGGUAACAUUUCUAGCUUGCUAGAAGAUGACGAGUGGCGGACGGGUGAGUAAUGCUUGGGAACUUGCCUUUGCGAGGGGGAUAACAGUUGGAAACGACUGCUAAUACCGCAUAAUGUCUUCGGACCAAACGGGGCUUCGGCUCCGGCGCAAAGAGAGGCCCAAGUGAGAUUAGCUAGUUGGUAAGGUAACGGCUUACCAAGGCGACGAUCUCUAGCUGUUCUGAGAGGAAGAUCAGCCACACUGGGACUGAGACACGGCCCAGACUCCUACGGGAGGCAGCAGUGGGGAAUAUUGCACAAUGGGGGAAACCCUGAUGCAGCCAUGCCGCGUGUGUGAAGAAGGCCUUCGGGUUGUAAAGCACUUUCAGUUGUGAGGAAAAGUUAGUAGUUAAUACCUGCUAGCCGUGACGUUAACAACAGAAGAAGCACCGGCUAACUCCGUGCCAGCAGCCGCGGUAAUACGGAGGGUGCGAGCGUUAAUCGGAAUUACUGGGCGUAAAGCGCACGCAGCGGUUUGUUAAGCUAGAUGUGAAAGCCCCGGGCUCAACCUGGGAUGGUCAUUUAGAACUGGCAGACUAGAGUCUUGGAGAGGGGAGUGGAAUUCCAGGUGUAGCGGUGAAAUGCGUAGAUAUCUGGAGGAACAUCAGUGGCGAA
rnacentral:rRNA from 1 species